rnacentral:tRNA from 1 species
AAGACCUGUAGAACUUUAACCUACAUCACCUAAUUGCAAAUCAGAUACUUUAAUUGAGCUAAGGCCUC